AAUCUCUUUCUCGGCAACCAAGGAACACCACCCUCACCAAUGUACAUCAUCAUCACCACCAACAUUAAUGUGCCAUUUUUUUCUCUCUAUUUCUAAUUUCUUCUACUUUCACGACCCUCUCUCAAAUUUACCCCAAAAUACAGUUCGUCGGUGUUUGAAAUCUCUGUGUCGCAACCGAUCUGAAUCUCUGUGUCAGUGUCGGUGUUUGAAAUAUCUAUGUAGCAAACGAUCGAAGUCUUUGCGUUGUUUUUUAAAAUCUAUGGCUGUCUCCCGCUGUUUUCAGGUGAAGGUUUCUCAUCUCCUUCAUAACUAGAAGGAUCUGUUGGACCCACCCCAUCGUUUGGACAGAGGAAAACUCACGCCUUUCUGCACGGACUUCUUGUCUUCGGACAUCAACAGGCGUCGAUCUCCAACGCAAAGGACAACUACAGCGAGGCUCCAGCGUGGCACGGGCGGGCAUGAGUAAAGACGCGUUGGAGACAGUCUUAUAUUAAUAUUGUUCCGUUGAUUUUUGUUUUAAUUUUGAAAUAUGUUUGUUUAAUAUUAGGUUAGGAUGUUGAUUUUGUUAAAUUUGAGAUGUUAAGGUUUGUUUAAUCAACGAAUCAAAUGGAGAUUGAGCCGAUAAUUCCGGCGAAUUAGCGGGCAACGUUAGUAAUAUGGUUCUAAAUGUAUAUCACUGGUGCUAAUUUCUGAUUUUGUUUCCCAUGAUUUUCAAUCUGUUAUUUUCAUUAAUACACUGUGUCCAGGUUAAUUUUUUAGAUUGAGAUCUGUAUGUUAAUACAUUGUUGAUUGGUUCCAGGUUCAUAUGUAUUUUCUCCGUCGAUUUGCGAAAGAUCAUUAGGUAUGCAUACACAAUUCACCCCCUCUGAUUCGUUAAUAUUAUCAUCUCAACUCAAUCGAUCAUCUGUAACGACGAUCUAAACCUGAUUCUGUAUCGUUUCGUGUUUUUUUUUUUUUUUUUUUUUUGCUUUUUUAAUCAGAUUCAAUAAGAUUAUUAGGUUUUUGUGAGAUUACAAUUGAGGAUUGUGUUUGGAUUAGAAUCGAGAUUGAUUCAUGGAGAAAUCGAUGAGAGAUUCAGGAAAACGAUGCACGAAUUAGCGGUUGAUUGUCGAACGACGUCGAAUGGAGCAGUUUAUUUGAGCGGUUGAUUGUCUAACUUUUAUUUCAUAUGACUUAACUUCAAAUUUCUCGAAUCCAUCAAGAUAUUACCCGUUUUCUGUAGCUUUCAAGGGUAUCCAGAUGAGGCACAUGUUUCACCGUAAUUGAAUGGGAUAUAGAAAGCUUUGAUUGUCUUUGAUGCUUUCUUUGAUUUUGAUUCCAUUCUCUGUCGAAUUUAGAAUUUCUGUGCUCCAUGAAUUGAAUAGUAUCAUUCAUACGUACUGAAAGAAGAUCUGAUUUAUUUUGAAGGACUGCGUUUGAUAAUUCAGAUCUGAGUUGUUGAUGUUUCUGUCGAAACCUGAUUCGGAUUUGAGCAUUAGAUGUUAGUUGAAAAUUGUGUUGUGACUGAAUUUGAGUUUGAUAGUAAAGAAGUUGUUAAGCUGUUGAGAUUUGAAUUAUAGUUUCGAAGUGUCAUUUGAGAAUUUCGAACUGUUUCGAUCAAUUCAGGUUGAAAUUUCAUUCAUUACGGACUGAUUUGGAUCUGUUUGUUGUAUCGUUUGAAUAUUUUGAACUGAAUCGGUAUGUUUUAGAUCGAAGUUUGGACUGUUAUGAAUCAAAGUCAGUGUUAAUCAUUCACGGACUGUUGUUGGGAUUUUUUUGAUAGUUACGGAUCAACUUAAUCAUCUGCAGAACUGAUCCGAACAAGUCUGCAGAAAUAGUGUCCGUUCGAUAAAACAGUGUCCAUUUACCGUAAUUAGUUAAUUCGCUGCUGCAAAUUCUUUUCACUCGCAACCCGACUUUAUUAAGGUUCGGGUAAGUUGGGUUUCUCACGUUAAGAGGGUCGGCUUGAUUGGGUUAGUCUGGUUAAUUUAAGUUAUAUGAUUAUUUAAAUUAUCAUCGGAUAUUAACAUUUAAGUAAGUUAAAAGAUGUAAUUUGUUAGGAAGAUAAUUAUCAUCGGAUAUUCACAGUAAAAGAUCAAAGGGCACCAAGUAGCACAAACAAGAUUUGGGCCAUUUUCAUCCCUAUUUGUAUGGGAUUAGUCAUUCUAUUUGGCAUAUCUGUGAUGAUCAUCAUGAAGAAGAAAAAGGUUAAGUUACAAGGAAGAUAUGAUUCAAGUAUUUAAGCAUUUUUAUCCCUCAAUUAGGAACAAAGAUUGAUGCACUCUUGCUGUAGUAAGAAAGGCGGCGGAAAAUGGCGAUGGCAAAUAGGAUUCGUCAUCCAUUCCAAUGAGCAAGUGAACCAAGUACAAGAAGGAGGCUAACAGGAUCUCGAAUACAUGAGGAUUUAUAGACUAACACGUUCACCUGAAUACAUUGGAUGAACCGGUAGCUAAAGAUGUAGGAUGAAGCACAAGAAGACGGACAUUGCAAAAUCAUAAUAGUUGAGGUAUUGCAAGAUCGGAUCAAAAUGUGAAAUAAGGUGAAGUGUAGCUGGGGAAUUGGAGAACAAAACAGAUAAUCCACACUUAAUUAAUUCUUUUGAUAUCCGUUUGUGUAGAUCAGUUACUUAUUUUGUCAAUAGAUAAAUCUUUAAUAGAUUUAUAAUAAUCGAAAAUCGUUAAUGGA